rnacentral:misc_RNA from 1 species
UAAUAAGUGUUUUAUGGCACUUUUUUAAAUCCAUAUCCACCUUGUGUGCAAUGUCAGUCGAUCUUCUUCAUGGAGAUCGACCAAACAUCAACCUUUAUUUUUUUAACUCUUUGUCUGAAAAAUAUUAUGAAUAAACAAUUCAAAAUA